AGUGAACGCUGGCGGUAGGCCUAACACAUGCAAGUCGAACGGCAGCACAGUAAGAGCUUGCUCUUACGGGUGGCGAGUGGCGGACGGGUGAGGAAUACAUCGGAAUCUACUUUUUCGUGGGGGAUAACGUAGGGAAACUUACGCUAAUACCGCAUACGACCUACGGGUGAAAGCAGGGGAUCUUCGGACCUUGCGCGAUUGAAUGAGCCGAUGUCGGAUUAGCUAGUUGGCGGGGUAAAGGCCCACCAAGGCGACGAUCCGUAGCUGGUCUGAGAGGAUGGUCGGCCACACGGGAACUGAGACACGGUCCAGACUCCUACGGGAGGCAGCAGUGGGGAAUGUUGGACAAUGGGCGCAAGCCUGAUCCAGCCAUACCGCGUGGGUGAAGAAGGCCUUCGGGUUGUAAAGCCCUUUUGUUGGGAAAGAAAAGCAGCAGGUUAAUACCCCGCUGUUCUGACGGUACCCAAAGAAUAAGCACCGGCUAACUUCGUG
rnacentral:rRNA from 1 species